GCCUUCGUGGUGUAAUUGGAAUCACACUCAACUAGUAUUCGAGAGGUUUGGCGUUCGAGUCCUAGCGAGGGCA
rnacentral:tRNA from 1 species